rnacentral:rRNA from 1 species
CCUACGGGAGGCAGCAGUGGGGAAUAUUGCACAAUGGGGGAAACCCUGAUGCAGCGACGCCGCGUGAGCGAUGAAGUAUUUCGGUAUGUAAAGCUCUAUCAGCAGGGAAGAAAAUGACGGUACCUGACUAAGAAGCCCCGGCUAACUACGUGCCAGCAGCCGCGGUAAUACGUAGGGGGCAAGCGUUAUCCGGAUUUACUGGGUGUAAAGGGAGCGUAGACGGCGGCGCAAGCCAGAUGUGAAAGCCCGGGGCUCAACCCCGGGACUGCAUUUGGAACUGUGCCGCUAGAGUGUCGGAGAGGCAGGCGGAAUUCCUAGUGUAGCGGUGAAAUGCGUAGAUAUUAGGAGGAACACCAGUGGCGAAGGCGGCCUGCUGGACGAUGACUGACGUUGAGGCUCGAAAGCGUGGGGAGCAAACAGGAUUAGAUACCCCUGUAGU